rnacentral:rRNA from 1 species
AUACGAAGGGUGCAAGCGUUAAUCGGAAUUACUGGGCGUAAAGCGCGCGUAGGUGGUUCGUUAAGUUGGAUGUGAAAGCCCCGGGCUCAACCUGGGAACUGCAUCCAAAACUGGCGAGCUAGAGUAUAGCAGAGGGUGGUGGAAUUUCCUGUGUAGCGGUGAAAUGCGUAGAUAUAGGAAGGAACACCAGUGGCGAAGGCGACCACCUGGGCUAAUACUGACCCUGAGGUGCGAAGGCGGGGGGAGCAAACAGGAUUAGAUACCCUGGUAGUCCACGCCGUAAACGAUGUCGACUAGCCGUUGGGAUCCUUGAGAUCUUAGUGGCGCAGCUAACGCAUUAAGUCGACCGCCUGGGGAGUACGGCCGCAAGGUUAAAACUCAAAUGAAUUGACGGGG